AACGCGAAGAACCUUACCAGGUCUUGACAUCCUCUGACAAUCCUAGAGAUAGGACGUCCCUUCGGGGGCAGAGUGACAGGUGGUGCAUGGUUGUCGUCAGCUCGUGUCGUGAGAUGUUGGGUUAAGUCCCGCAACGAGCGCAACCCUUGAUCUUAGUUGCCAGCAUUCAGUUGGGCACUCUAAGGUGACUGCCGGUGACAAACCGGAGGAAGGUGGGGAUGACGUCAAAUCAUCAUGCCCCUUAUGACCUGGGCUACACACGUGCUACAAUGGACAGAACAAAGGGCAGCGAAACCGCGAGGUUAAGCCAAUCCCACAAAUCUGUUCUCAGUUCGGAUCGCAGUCUGCAACUCGACUGCGUGAAGCUGGAAUCGCUAGUAAUCGCGGAUCAGCAUGCCGCGGUGAAUACGUUCCCGGGUCUUGUACACACCG
rnacentral:rRNA from 1 species